UACGUAGGGUGCAAGCGUUAGUCGGAAUUACUGGGCGUAAAGCGUGCGCAGGCGGUUAUGUAAGACAGAUGUGAAAUCCCCGGGCUCAACCUGGGAACUGCAUUUGUGACUGGCAGGCUUUGAGUGUGGCAGAGGGAGGUAGAAUUCCACGUGUAGCAGUGAAAUGCGUAGAGAUGUGGAGGAAUACCGAUGGCGAAGGCAGCCUCCUGGGCCAACACUGACGCUCAUGCACGAAAGCGUGGGGAGCAAACAGG
rnacentral:rRNA from 1 species